rnacentral:rRNA from 1 species
UGAGGAAUAUUGGUCAAUGGGCGCAAGCCUGAACCAGCCAAGUAGCGUGCAGGAUGACGGCCCUAUGGGUUGUAAACUGCUUUUACAGGGGAAUAAAGUGAUUCACGUGUGUUUCAUUGCAUGUACCCUGCGAAUAAGGACCGGCUAAUUCCGUGCCAGCAGCCGCGGUAAUACGGAAGGUCCUGGUGUUAUCCGGAUUUAUUGGGUUUAAAGGGAGCGUAGGCCGCAGAUUAAGUGUGUUGUGAAAUUCAGGUGCCCAACGUCUGACUUGCAGCGCAAACUGGUCUGCUUGAGUUCGCGCAACGCAGGCGGAAUUCGUCGUGUAGCGGUGAAAUGCUUAGAUAUGACGAAGAACUCCGAUUGCGAAGGCAGCUGACGGGAGCGCAACUGACGCUUAAGCUCGAAGGUGCGGGUAUCAAACAGGAUUAGAUACCCUGGUAGUCCGCACGGUAAACGAUGGAUGCCCGCUGUUAGCGCCUGGCGUUAGCGGCUAAGCGAAAGCAUUAAGCAUCCCACCUGGGGAGUACGCCGGCAACGGU